rnacentral:rRNA from 1 species
CCUACGGGAGGCAGCAGUGAGGAAUAUUGGUCAAUGGCCGAAAGUCUGAACCAGCCAAGUAGCGUGAAGGAUGACUGCCCUAUGGGUUGUAAACUUCUUUUAUACGGUAAUAAACUUUUCCACGUGUGGAUUUUUGUCUGUACCUCAUGAAUAAGGAUCGGCUAAUUCCGUGCCAGCAGCCGCGGUAAUACGGAGGGUCCGAGCGUUAUCCGGAUUUAUUUGGUUUAAAGGGAGCGUAGGUGGGUUUUUAAGUCAGUUGUGAAAUGUUGUGGCUCAACCUCAAAAGUGCAGUGGAAACUGGAAGUCUUGAGUGCAGGAGAGGCAGGCGGAAUUCGUGGUGUAGCGGUGAAAUGCUUAGAUAUCACGAAGAACACCGAUUGCGAAGGCAGCCCACUGGACUGCAACUGACGCUGAGGCGCGAAAGCGUGGGGAUCAAACAGGAUUAGAUACCCGAGUAGUC